GUUGCUGGUUCUCUAGGGAGCAUGUGCACACCUUGUCAUCUUUAUAUCUCCACCUGUGCACCUUUUGUAGACCUUUUCAGGUCUAUGUUGCUUCAUUUACCCCCAAUGUAUGUUAAUAGAAUGUUGUGCCUAUAAUAAUAUAUACAACUUUCAGCAACGGAUCUCUUGGCUCUCGCAUCGAUGAAGAACGCAGCGAAAUGCGAUAAGUAAUGUGAAUUGCAGAAUUCAGUGAAUCAUCGAAUCUUUGAACGCACCUUGCGCUCCUUGGUAUUCCGAGGAGCAUGCCUGUUUGAGUGUCAUUAAUAUAUCAACCUUCUCUUGUUGAGUGGUUUGGAUGUGGGAGUUUGCUGGCCUCUUGAAAGGUUUUAGCUCUCCUGAAAUGCAUUAGCGGAACAACCCUGUUCAUUGGCGUGAUAACUAUCGACGCUAUUGAAUGUAAAGGGCAGUUUGGCUUUCUAACAGUCCUUGGACAGCUCAUCAUUAAUGUGACCUCAAAUCAGGUAGGACUACCCGCUGAACUUAAGCAUAUCAAUAAGCGGAGG
rnacentral:rRNA from 1 species